CGCAAGACUCGGCAACACGUCAAAUGUUGGAUUAAUGCCAAGAAGAGAGAAUACUUAUCUGGACUUUCCCAAUACUUAUACAACUUGGAGAUUUUUUAAGUCUAAAUCUUCAAAAUCUUCCAUACCUGAUGUAAUUAAGAUAAGGGGUCUUAAACUAUUCUCUUCUGAAGAAAAGGCUGAUGCUUUUAAUACUUAUUUUGCGUCAGGUUUUACCUCCGACUCAAAUUCUUCUUUACCUUUAAUUUCUCCUUCGCAGUCAUCAUCAAACUUUCUUGACUCAAUAACUGUUUCUGUAUUUGAAGUUCAAUCUUUGUUGUCCAGUUUGUCAUCCUCUAAGGCUACUGGGCCUGAUGGCAUACCAGCAUAUCUUUUAAAGCGCUAUUCCGAAGUCAUCGCUCCGUCUUUAUCAGUUCUCUUCGAGUUAUCUUUUCAGCAGGGUGUAUUUCCUUCUGAAUGGAAAUCUGCUAAUGUGCAAUUGGUUCCAAUACCUAAGAAAGGUGACGCUCAUGAAGUCAACAACUACAGACCUGUUUCAUUGCUCUCCCAAGUCUCAAAAGUACUUGGACGCUUGAUUCUUAGACAGGUUUCUUAUUUCAUUAAGGACUCUUUGUAUGACAUUCAACAUGGCUUUCGCUGCAAUAGGUCAUGUGUUACUCAACUUUUGAAUGUGUUUCACGAUCUCGGUCGUGCUCUUGAUUCUGGCAAUGAAAUUGAUCUCCUUUAUCUUGAUUUUGCUAAAGCUUUUGACUCCGUAUCUCACAGCAAACUCUUGUUUAAACUAAAAUCUUUUGGAAUUUCCAGUCAACUUCUUAACUGGUUCGCUGAUUAUCUCCAUAAUCGGAAACAGCGUGUCGUUAUCGAAGGAGUUUAACAGAAUGCGCACUUGGAAAACCUACUGCUCUAAAUGCCGUUCUUUCAACUUAAGCUGUUGCUCAUAAUCUGGACUAUUAAUUUGUAUAUAGUAAUGUAAAUAGUGUUCUUGUCCUUGUCUUUAAUGUAUGUCUACUUAUUGUAUUGUAUCAGGUUGGUCUUCACAUUAUUAUUAUUACAAUAUUGCCUGCUCCCAAAAGGGCUUUUC